UCUGAUUUUCGAAGUCCCAAAA
rnacentral:miRNA from 1 species